AUUGAACGCUGGCGGCAUGCCUUACACAUGCAAGUCGAGCGGCAGCGCGGGGGCAACCCUGGCGGCGAGCGGCGGACGGGUGAGUAAUACAUCGGAACGUGUCCUUUCGUGGGGGAUAACCAGUCGAAAGACUGGCUAAUACCGCAUGAGAUCUCACGAUGAAAGCGGGGGACUCCGAGGGUAACUUCGGGGCCUCGCGCGAUUGGAGCGGCCGAUGUCGGAUUAGCUAGUUGGCGGGGUAAAGCCCACCAAGGCAACGAUCCGUAGCUGGUUUGAGAGAACGACCAGCCACACUGGGACUGAGACACGGCCCAGACUCCUACGGGAGGCAGCAGUGGGGAAUCUUGCGCAAUGGGCGAAAGCCUGACGCAGCGACGCCGCGUGAGGGAUGACGGCCUU
rnacentral:rRNA from 1 species